rnacentral:lncRNA from 1 species
UGAAAGCCCCUAGGACUGGAUAAGCUGAACAAGGUCUGCCGACAGCAUCCCUGAGCGUUUCCUAGAGACCCUUUGGAGAAGGCAGUGGGUGAGGUCACAAUUGAACCUUGAAAACUCAGUGCCACCACAGAGGAAGGAUUUGGCUGGGCCAUUGUUUGGACCAGGGUGGAUUUCCAGCAGAGACGUGGUCAGAGGACAGCUGCUCCCUGUGGCCCACCCCCGGCUCCCAGGAGCAGGGUGGUGGUGGCAAUGAGUGACAAGAGCUGACUGCUUCCUCUGAGCACCUCACCUCCACUUCCCCAGAUCAGCUAAGGUCCUCUCUUGGCAGGUGAGAAGAAGGACUUCAGGGACAUUUCCUGCAGACGGCAUGCUAGAUGCUGGGCUCGGCGCCGGUUUUAAAAACAUGCAAACAAACAAAAAGCCCCCAAGGGAGACUGUCCUGUAAAUAAAUAACCAAGGCUCACCGUAUAGAGUGCAGUAAUAGAGGAUGCUGUCAAUUGCAAGAAGCCCCAUGGAUUUAAGGACAUUCAAAAAAAGGGUUUUUUUUGAGGAGGAAGAAACAUGGCCACAUUAAACAAAUCCAUCAACGCAUUCACUUUUUUAGAAAUAUUAAUAUAUGAAAAAAUGCACAUCUUAGAAUUAGGAAAAUUCUUCUUGGUUCUUGUCAGCCUCCAGAAAAACUUGGCUGUCCCGGAAGAUGUGCGAUGUUUGCCCCUGGCUCCGUGUCCCCAUCAUACAGAAGUGGGGAGCACAGGAUGAGGUCACGCUUUUUGCCAACCCCCAAAUAACUCCAAGACGUUGAGGAGAGAGAGCCCUCUGGGCUGUGUGUGGCUCUAUGACAAGGGCCUGUUUAAGUGCAUUCGGUAAGUAGCUAUUUGUUUCAGCCCCAUCUGUGUGCUCGGCAUGGGGCAAACAAGUCACAAAAGUGGGCUCCAUGUUGCCCUCCACAGUGUCCUCUUGCCUGUCUGUAAACUCCUCAAGGGCAGGCCCUGGUAACCACACAUCUACACAGGACCAAGUCACACCUGAACUCUGCCAGGCUGCCUCAGCCUGCCCCCGAGGCGCCCCCUGUCGGUGGGAAGAUGGGCAGGUGGGCUGUGAACCCAUCUGCUAACACAGCAGUGUGAGCUCAGUGUGGCUGAAGAGCUGCCAGAGCUCAGAGGAGGGCUCCAUGAAUCUAGCGGACCAGAGGCGGAGGGUGGGGUCAGUGUGGGGGGAUAGAUCGCUGAGGAGGUGACAUCUGAAGGAUGAAAGAAAUUCCCCAGAGGGAUGGAGGGCAUUCCUAGCAGGGGAACAGCAUGAGCAAAGCUCAAGUCUUGGGAGUACACAGCACAUAGAGGAUGGUAUGGGUAUGAAAGUGUAUGUGUGUGUGUGUGUGAGAGAGAGAGGCUCCUAUUUGUGUUCAUCUAUCUUUCCUUGGUCUCUGGCUUCCCCCGUGAGACCCUUCCCCAGGGCUCUUGGUCUAGCCCUGAACUCUAUGGGCCACUCGUGCUCCCCUCUGGGCUCAGAGCUUCUGCACUUCAGCCCCACAGUGCUUCCCUGUUCCCUCAGCAGCUCCCCGCCUUGACUUUGUUCUUCCUAAGCCUGCCCUCAGCUUGGCCUCCAGAAGGACACUUGAUCCCAUCCCAUGACUGGCGGUGGGGUGCGGCCCUCAGAGCAGCUGCAAGGAUGUUGACUCCAGAUGGAAAGUGUUUCGAGAAUUCUGACGUGACAUCACACCAUCACGACAUUGCGCUGACAGUAACUGAUCUGGGAGUGGCCAGGCAAAGGAAAGCACAAAUGUGACGUUAAACACACAGAGGAGACCCCACAUCAGUGACUCACACAGAUGCUGCCAAGGAUCCAGCUGCUUCACACUGUGCAGACAAGAUGGGGGUCUGCAAGCCCGCGUGCGCCGGCAGGGCCCGAGAAGACUGCUGGAGAUUCUGUUUGCGCAUGAAGACACUGUAGGCUCCUCUGGCAGUCUACACCCAAGAGAGAUGGUGGGGAAGGCUUUGGGGCUGAUGGACCAGCUGUGAGGGACCAAGGACAAUCUUCGGGAAGGGGAGAAGAAGAGCAGGCCUGCCCCAGGUCUGGAGCACCAGAUAUAUAAGGUGAGACCAGAACAGCUUGUACCAGAAGACAAGAAAGUUAUCGAACACCACUGGGGUCAUGUCAAAAGGACUCAGGUGCCGACCUGAAGGAGCUCCCACUGGACAAAAUGGCAUCGUUUGUGCUUCAAAAACAAAACUAAACAAACAAACAAAGACCCUGCAAUGAAUUGAAAUACAUCAAAUAUUUUAAAACUCCAUGAGUUCAAGAUGAUAAUUAAAAAAAGACACUUGGAGGAUGCUUAGAAAAAACCAACUCACUCUUCCAAAAAUUGAUAAAGGGAAAGCGAACUCUGGGGCUUCCCAAUGAUAUUGUGAAGUUGCACAUUCGUUGGAAGGCCUCCCAUGUACUCCCAAGACUCUCCCUCUGGCUUUCUCCAGGCCUAAAUUUCCACCAUUAGAGACUCCUUUCUUUGGGUUAAGAAAUGUCCUGAGUCAAAGCCAAAGUACGCUUGGGAAAAGUUUGUUAACUACUUUGCUCACAGAUUGGGAUGGAGAAAAAGUGGAAAAUCCUAUGGUCCCUGGAGUCCGACAGAUAGGGAUCCAGCCAGAGAGAAGGAGCUGAGGGUCAAAGAACUUGGCAGCAUCAUCCAGGGCAGGAGGACUACCUGGGCUGCCUAUCCAAAGUUCAGCUCCUCAGUAGACACCUCAGGUGGUGUCUGAUCCAGCAGGUGGAAAGAAUGGCAGAAAUAUACAUUUUAUUACACAUCUCAGGUGACUCGGACACAGGUGGUGCUGCCACUGUUUUCCAGGGGACGCUGGACCAGAGCUCCUGGAUCUUUCCUGUUGGCCUGUGUGACUUUCUGCUCCAGCGGCACUGGGCUGUCACAGCUGAGCAAUUCCAGCCUCUGCAAACUUCACCAGGCCCCUCAGCCCGGGAUCUCUUUACUAUUGCCAGGUCCCUUUAAGAUUCCAAGCCCUUCCCUGUGUGGGGAAGCCAGCACCGUGUAGAAGGGACCCAGCCACGUGAGUCCCAGUGUAGGCUCUGAGCUACCUGCCCUCACCCUCUCCCACAGCUUCCUGAGCUGUCCUGACACGCCCAGAUUCUCACGUGACAGUCCGCUCACUCCUGGCCCCUGACGCUUGACAAUAUUUCUUGGGCUUUGCUGGGCCUGGGACCCUGCGUCUCAGCCCAGGCCCCAAGAUGCCCUUGGUCCUGGGGUCCCUCUCUCCUCUCUGAUGCCCUCAUGGGACCCUCAUGGGCAGAAGGCUUUUUGCAGCCCUGCUCACCAGCUCUGUGCCUCAGCCAGAUUUGUGGCUGGGCUACCCUCACUCCGGAGUCGGCCAACCACCCUCACCAUCCUCCUUCCCACCCUACCACCUCCUCCAGCCCCCUCCUAUCCCUUGGGCUCUUCCAGUCCCUCCCCCCCCUGCUGAGAUGAGCACCCGUAUUCCAGGCCCGAGUCCAUCCUGCCCUAGUAACACUCCUCAGCCCACCUCUUCCCCAGGGACCCAGCGCCCAGUUUGGGGCUGACCUUCUGAAUCCCACCCCCAUACGCCCAGCCUUGACUGACGGGCCCAGGCCAAGCUUCCCUGUUCUGACCCCUGGCCUUUGCCUGACCCCAUGGGCAGGCCUGGGUGCCAGCCUCUGCCCUCCCUGGCUGGCCUGUCCCCCUGCCGCCUGAGCCUGGGUCGUGACAUCUUUCCACCUAGCGGCUUUUAUUUUGAGAAGGCAAACACAGCGGCACCCACAGGCAUGUGCACACACACACAUGCACCCCCUCCAUGCCCCGACACCUCACGCACUGGCAUGAAAAUCAGGCUGGCCAUGUUUAUUUUUCUUCCGUUAAUUUCCCCUGUAGAACGAACACCCGUCCUGUAACACCCCCCACCCCCUUCUUGCAGAUCCGAGGCUCCCCCCGCCCUCUUCUGUGUCCUCCCUUCGCAGCUGUGAAUGAGAACAGAGUGAGUCUUUUAGCAGGAGGCAGCGGCCUGAAUGAACCGAUCGUGGCCUCAAAGCCAGCGGGGAAGGAGGGGUUGUGAGCAUGUGUGUUUGCGUCUCAGAAACUCUUUGCACACCCCCAAGCUCAGAUUUUUCCAUGUGCCUUGGAGCGAAUGCCUCCCCAUCUCACCCCCUCCUUUUCAAUUUUAUUUUAUUUCAUUUUUGGUCCCAUGCAUUUUGUUUUCUGUUUUCUACAAGGGAGCCUGAAUCGGGGCCUCAGAAAAACAAGGCUGAGCUGCCAACUGGAAAUGUUUGCUCUGGGGGCGAGUUCGGAGGCUGGCGUCAGGCGGGGCCAGAUCCGUGCCAGCGGAAUGUGAUUUGGGGGGGAAGCUGCAGGUCACUCAAUCGCUGGCAGCCUGCCCGGGAGCAACUGGAUGCUUUCUGGGCUGUGUGUGAGGCAGUGGCUGGGCCCCUUGGCGGUGCUGCCAGGUUUCACCGAGUCAGGCCUCCCCUACCGCCUGGCCUGCCUUACCAAGGACCCACAUGCCCUCCCGCACUCCCCAGCCUGCCCUUUCACAUACCAAGUUUUUU